rnacentral:lncRNA from 1 species
UUUUUUUUUUUUUUUUUAAACCCGGGGGAAGGGUGACCACUCCGACCUGGAUUUACCGUUCUUGGCCUCCCUAAGCCCCCCCGAGUGGGGGGCGGCUGUGCUCGCUCUGGCGGUUGGAGGUCGGGGAGCGGCCCGGGCUCUGGCCAUGUUCUCGGAUGAGGAUUUCUGGAUCGCCCUGUGAAGAGGUCUCCCCGAGAGGGCCCUGCCCAGUCGGAGAGAGGGAUGGACAGCCAGAAGCCGCCUGCUGAAGAUAAAGAUUCAGACCCGGCAGCUGAUGGACUUGCAGCCCCUGAGAAGCCAGGUGCCACUGAGCCACACCUUCCCAUCCUGUGUAUCGGGGAGGUCUCAGUCCCCAGUUCUGGGAGUUCUAGGCUUCAGAAGCCGCCUCAUGACUGCAGUGGGGGUCCAGCACGGCGUUGUGCGCUCUGUAACUGUGGGGAGCCCAGUCUGCAUGGGCAGAGGGAGCUGCAGCGCUUUGAAUUGCCAUCUGACUGGCCCGGGUUUCCAGUGGUAUCCUCUGGGGGAAGCUCAGGUCCCUGUGAGGCAGUGCUGCCCAAUGAGGACCUAUCACAAAUUGGUUUCCCUGAGGGCCUUACGCCUGCCCACCUAGGAGAGCCUGGAGGGCACUGCUGGGCACAUCAUUGGUGUGCAGCAUGGUCAGCAGGUGUAUGGGGGCAGGAGGGCCCAGAACUAUGUGGUGUGGACAAGGCCGUCUUCUCAGGGAUCUCACAGCGCUGCUCCCACUGCGCCAGGUUCGGUGCCUCCGUUCCUUGCCGCUCACCCG